CAAUGGGGGAACCCUGAUGCAGCAACGCCGCGUGAAGGAUGACGGUUUUCNGAUUGUAAACUUCUUUUCUUAGUGACGAAGACAGUGACGGUAGCUAAGGAAUAAGCAUCGGCUAACUACGUGCCAGCAGCCGCGGUAAUACGUAGGGGGCAAGCGUUAUCCGGAUUUACUGGGUGUAAAGGGAGCGUAGACGGACUGGCAAGUCAGAAGUGAAAGGCGGGGGCUCAACCCCGGGACUGCAUUGGAAACUGUUAGUCUUGAGUGCCGGAGAGGUAAGCGGAAUUCCUAGUGUAGCGGUGAAAUGCGUAGAUAUUAGGAAGAACACCAGUGGCGAAGGCGGCUUACUGGACGGUAACUGACGUUGAGGCUCGAAAGCGUGGGGAGCAAACAGGAUUAGAUACCCUGGUAGUCCAAGGGCGAAUUC
rnacentral:rRNA from 1 species